GUAAUUCAGGUUGCGGCCAUAUGCAUUCUUUUUGUCAAGACGAGAAACAAAAUAAGUUCAAGUUAGAAAAUAUGGCUAGACCACCCUUAAGCCAGGACACCACUUUUAAGUUUGCCUUAAAAAAUCAGAAACGCACUUUUUCAGAUAGAGAAUUGCAAGCUUCCUUUUUUUCCCAAACAAACGAGAAGAAACUGAAAACUUUUCACCCGUUCCUUACUGAUCUGAAAAAUAUGAUGUACGGCUUUGGAGACGUUAAGGAGCCUUUACUCGAAACAAUUGAGGUUUUAGAAGACGCCGCCCUGGAGUUUAUUUAUGAUCUUACUUUACGAGCUAUCAAGAUCGGGAAACCAAAAAACAGAAGUGCACCCAAGUUCACUACUGAUGAUAUUUUGUUUUUAAUAAGAAAAGACCGCAAAAAGUUAACUCGUGCGCAGGAACUCUUAUAUAUGAGUAGAGAAAUCAAAAAGGCCCGCCAAAUGACUGAACAAAAGGAAUAAGACUUUAUCGCUC